GAGGGAGUAAUUUUUAUUUUGAGGCAAGCAAUAAAAGAGACAAGGAAGCAAAGUACAGUUGUGUGGUGGUGCCUCGGAAUGUUCGCUUUUCUGGUGUACAAAUGGCAAUAAAUGAUUGGAUGUCAAAAGACAAGAAAGUCUGAAAUGGACACAAUGCUCCCGCCGCACCGAAUUGCAGCACCCUUUUUCCUAAUUUUACAUACAAAAAUAAAGGGCUUUUACAUAAAGUGCACAACCACUAACAACGUUCCCACCAAACUUAAAACGCAGACCUAUUUGCCACGAAAACACGCCACCGCUUAACCGGGAUACCCCACCACCGGAAUUGACCAAUAUGCCCCUCACCCCCAACAUAUAAUUAGAAGCCUAAUCCAUUUUGACCAGAAAGAAAAUUGCUGACUCUAAACACAGACUUCCCAUUUUGGGUGAUUCUUGACCACUCCAAUCCAAUAACAUCAACAACUUCUAUUUCAAAUCGUAUUAAAAACAUUUUUUUUUGAGGAACGUAUUAAAAACAUUUAACUAGGAAGGAAGACGCAAGAAAAAUUGACGGAUCUGCCCCUGGCAAGAGAGGGUUAUUUCGGUCAAUUCGGGAUUUGAUCAAGGUGUGACGACGACAAGAAGCAUAAUAAUGAGGCAGGGGUGGUGGCGAGGUUAAACAAGUAGAGAGGAAUUCAAUCUUCGUGUAGGCGUCUGACCAUUCACGCGUUAAAAUUGAAAAAUCAAUUUUAACAAUGAUACCAAUUUUUAUCAAUAUCUAAAAAUCCAAAAAGAGAAGAGGAUAAAAUUGGAAUAGAUUAAUGAAUUGUUUUCGAAGACGCCAAAGAUGGAUCCAGAAGCGGAAAGGGCAAACCGGUGAAAGCGCCGGAGCCGGGAGGAGAUCAAAAUGACGAAAGUGCCCCAGGAGUCAGUUUCCAAAACUGAAAAAACGGUGACAGGUGACGCGGGGAAGAAGCCAACAAUGGAAUGAAAGUCUUUCUGACUUGUUCCAGAAGCGUGGCAGUAAAUAUCCGUAUUCCACAGGGGUAGUAAGGUAAAUUUACAUAGACCCACCGAAUGCCAACUGCCACGACACACUUUCCUCCUAGGAUAAUAUUGAAAGCGCAGCCCAUCGCCGCCG
rnacentral:lncRNA from 1 species